CAGGGAGGAGCGUAAAAGUUGACAGCCUUGAGCAUGUGACACCUUCUGCCAUGAGAUGAUGCUACAAGAAGAACCUCACCGACUGCUGGCACCUUGAUACUGGACUUCACAGCCUCCAGAAUUGUGAGCCAAUAAUCCACUUUAAAGCAAGAAAACAAGAUAAUUCAAGGGAAAAAUGUAUGACUCUAAAUUUGGAAACCAGACAGGAUCUGCUAAUACGGGGCAGAAUGUUAAAAAGAGGAUGAAUUUUGAUUUCAGAAAAUUUAGAAGAAAAUGGAUUUCUCAGGCAACUGAAAGAACAUAUUUGGAUCUGUUAAGAUGAAAGGAGACUUCAAGAGAACUGGACUUUGUGUUGGACAGGCUGUCUGUGACAGGGAAAAAACCCCUUCUGAAUGAUUAGGGAUGAAUCAGUUAACUUGCUUGAGUUUCACAUUCUUCAUCUGUAAAAUCUGGUGAUUAGACUGGCCCAGCAAAAGAUAUAAUGGGCAAAAGAUAUAAUACACAUAAAUUGGAAUGAAUCUGCAUUUUCCAAGCCUGAUGACUUUAUUAAAACUGAAUUAAGUCACUAACUGGCAGCCUGAAGAUGAAAGGAAAGAACUCAGUCAUGCUUCUUAAGGUAAAAGGGCAGUCUAACUGAGAAUUUUGUUAUCUCUGAGGACAAAUUACAAGGAGAUAAAGACACUCAAGAUCACAUGGAAGGCUUCUGCUCCCACUUAGAGACUGCAAUGUAAGGUAUGGAAACAGAAUAUUCUCUAUAGAAACAUACAUAUUAAAAUAUGAACAUUUUUGUUCUUAUUUCAAUCCAAAAAUAAAUAAAUGAAUUAAAUGUCAAAGAUAUCCAUUCUAAUUUGGAACUUCUCUGUUCAUAACCUAUUAUGCAGUGGGCGCUAAAAAUCUGUUCAUGGUAUAUGACUGAAUAUUGUCUAUGAAAUGUGUAGGUGUUAAACAAAUGCCACGGUUUAUUUAUUAUAAGAAACUUUUUUACAUUUUAACAUCUCUGAAAUGUGGAUAACACUUUAUUUUAUUUUACUUUAUUUAUUUUCGAGAUGGAGUUUCGCUCUUGUUGCCCAGGC
rnacentral:lncRNA from 1 species